rnacentral:rRNA from 1 species
AUAGCGUAUAUUAAAGUUGUUGCGGUUAAAAAGCUCGUAGUUGAAUCUGUGUCCCACGCUGCCGGUUCGCCGCUCGCGGUGUUUAACUGGCAUGAUUGUGGGACGUCCUACCGGUGGGCUUAGCCUCUCGGGGCGGCCCAACUAAUAUCCCAUCGCGGUGCUCUUCACUGAGUGUCGAGGUGGGCCGGUACGUUUACUUUGAACAAAUUAGAGUGCUUAAAGCAGGCUAUUUUCGCUUGAAUACUGUGUGCAUGGAAUAAUGGAAUAGGACCUCGGUUCUAUUUUGUUGGCUUUCGGAGUCGAGGUAAUGAUUAAUAGGGACAGACGGGGGCAUUCGUACUGCGACGUUAGAGGUGAAAUUCUUGGAUCGUCGCAAGACGAACUACUG